AAGUCGUAACAAGGUUUCCGUAGGUGAACCUGCGGAAGGAUCAUUAACACUAAUGAAAUCCAAAACCUUUUGGAUCAACCCAACCUUAGCGAACCGUUCGUUUUUUCCCUUUGCCAUUUAUUUAAACGCAAACAAAUCUGAUGUAAAGUGUCUGAUUCUUAUUCCCGUUUUCCCUGAAAAGGGUACAGCUGGAAUCAAAAAUCUAACGCAAUACAACUCUUAACAACGGAUAUCUUGGCUCUC
rnacentral:misc_RNA from 1 species